GCGAAAACUUUACAAUGCUGGCAACAGCGAUAAGGGAACCUCGAGUGCCAGGUUACAAAUCUGGCUGUCGAGAUGCCUAAAAAGCAUUUCAUAGCAAGGGCCGGGCAAGACCGGUGCCAGCCGCCGCGGUAACACCGGCGGCUCGAGUGGUAACCGUUAUUAUUGGGUCUAAAGGGUCUGUAGCCGGCCGGAUAAGUCUCUUGAGAAAUCUGGCAGCUUAACUGUCAGGCUUUCAGGAGAUACUGUCUGGCUCGAGGCCGAGAGGUGAGAGGUACUUCAGGGGUAGGGGUGAAAUCUUGUAAUCCUUGAAGGACCACCAGUGGCGAAGGCGUCUCACCAGAACGGACCUGACGGCAAGGGACGAAAGCUAGGGGCACGAACC
rnacentral:rRNA from 1 species